CAAAAAAAUAUUACUCAAAAAGUCAGCAUGGCAAAAACAACUUUUCCCUUUCAAAAUUUUAUGUAUUUACACAUCAGAAAAGUUUCGAUUCGCUCCACUGUGCACACUUAAGUGGCAGCGAAAUGCUAAUAAAAUAAUAAAUCGAAUGGCAGCACCAACAACAACGUCACUAAAAAAGAGCAACGACAGCGGUCAGCAACAAAAGCAAAAGCUUCCAAGCAAGUCGAAGGUGGGACCGAAGAUGGAAACAAAAAGAAUGGCAACCCGCACCAGUCGAAUCACACGCACAGGAGGAUAGCCAUCAACUUCUCUAUGUUAGGUGUUUCAAAUGCACGUUACGUUGCAACUUCAAAAACGAAUCAACAGAAUAAAGCAAAAAGUAGGUUUAAGCAAAAGCAGCAGCGCAGCGUGCAAUGGGACGGCCGCCCCGGAGGUCUGGGGGAGCAAAGGAAUUCCCAUUCCCAGUCCAAAUGAGCACAAUUAGGCGUCUUUAUCGAAUUCUCGCGGUAUGCGAAAGAAGAGAACAGGAAACCAUAAGAGGAACAGGUCACCAUUAUCCCCGUCUCCUUUUUGCGCUCAAUAAUUCAGUUCGUGAGAGCAGUAGCCGAAACAGUGGUGUCAGAAGCAGAAGCAGCACCAACCACCCCCCAGACAUUUGGGUGGGCGCAUACGAAAGGAAAAAAUUAUACAUUGGAUAAAUCCAGAAAAUGUAAAAUUACAAACACACAUUGCAGACAUCUAGGGAGCGGGACAGAGAUAGAGAGUGAGGCACUCUCGCAUGGAAAACUAAUACAUACAGCGAGGCGGCGGCAGCGUAAGUACAGCCAACGCAGCUAGGCAGCACCACCACCCGAUGAUAUCGAAUGGCCAACAACAACUACAGCAAUAAAACCAAGUCGUCCACCAACGCUACUGCUCACGUCGCGGCAGCCGCAGCAACCAUCGUCACCAAAGAACUCCAGUUCGUCGAUACAACAACAUCGGCAACGGCAGCAACAACCACUUGGCUUUGCUCUUCUUGCUGCCGCCGUUUCUUCCGGCCCCCCGACAUUACCGGAUUGUUUCGCUCCUUUUACUUCUGUUAUUGUUGUUGUUGUAUGUUUGAUUGAUGGUGCGCUGCCUUUACCGCUGCCUCUCUGCCUUUUGAUAAUGGCAACGUCGCCCAUUCAGCGAUGACCAGUUGUAGGGGG
ensembl:ncRNA lncRNA:CR44222 long non-coding RNA:CR44222